rnacentral:tRNA from 1 species
GCCUGGGUGGCUCAGCGGUUGAGCGCCUGCCUUUGGCCAAGGGAGUGAUCCUGGAGUCCUGGGAUCGAGUCCCACCUCCGGCU